GUCCGGCCGAUGCGCGCAAACAUUUACUUCCCACAAGCAUAAUAACGUCAUAUUACCGUGUGGCGACAUGUCCACACUCGUUCGCGAUGCCCCAGACACGCGCACUUGUUGGCACCGAACCGGAUUAAUACAGAUAUACCGUACACCCACAAAGUGCAAGCGAAUUGUGAAUGACACGGUCAAUUUAAUCAGCAUCACUCAGAGCUUAUACACCACUCGCGGAUUUUACACAUUAUGCCUGCUGAUGAUGUGGAUGAUUCAUUUCUGAAGCGAAAAUUGGAGCACGCACCUGCGCGGCUGGUGGGAAACGUCCACAGGUUUGAGUGACAGUAAAUAACGUGUUCGAUUGAGGGUAGACGCUUGAGCAUCUGAUGCAUUAAUCUGCACUUGCUCUUAUCGGCGGAACUCGUGUCUGCCGUCAUGCGCCCAAGGCGACGAUGAUGUGCACUUUAUAUUGUGAUUAAUGGAAACGAUUUUCUAUAGCGGACAUUUAUGCUGUAAUCCAUUUAGCGUAAUUUAUUGCAAUAUUGGUGUACCGCUCAACUAACUUCGUUGAAUACAUUUGUGAAGCGGUG